GAUGAACGCUGGCGGCGCGCCUAACACAUGCAAGUCGAACGAUUAAAGCACCUUCGGGUGUGUAUAAAGUGGCGAACGGCUGAGUAACACGUGGGCAACCUGCCCCUCUCAUUGGGAUAGCCACGGGAAACCGUGGAUAAUACCGAAUACUUCGGGACUUCCGCAUGGAAGACUCGAGAAAGCUCCGGCGGAGAGGGAUGGGCCCGCGGCCUGUUAGCUUGUUGGUGGGGGAAUGGCCUACCAAGGCAAUGAUGGGUAGCUGGGUUGAGAACGCGACCAGCCACAUUGGGACUGAGACACGGCCCAGACUCCUACGGGAGGCAGCAGUGGGGAAUCUUGCACAGUGGGCGAAAGCCUGAUGCAGCGACGCCGCGUGCGGGAUGAAGGCCUUCGGGUUGUAAACCGCUUUCAGCAGGGACGAGGCGAAAGUGACGGUACCUGCAGAAGAAGCCCCGGCUAACUACGUG
rnacentral:rRNA from 1 species